CACAGAAACACUGGACCAUUCUGGCACACGCGUCACUGUGAACUUCUUGGCAGCUCGAGUGGUUAAAAACUCAUAAGAUCAGAUAAGAUUAGAAGUUAAAUGGAAAUGUACAAAGUGUAGUGGGCAACCGGAAGAAAUUUCCGGACACAUGACGAUUAUCCUCACUCCAGUCCUCUCGUAAUGGUCACAGGGUGUUGAGAACACCUGGAUGAUCUUCGAUGAAGCAGAACUCACCGCAAAGGAUCGACUGAAGCUAACCA